CGGGACGGGUGAGUAACGCGUGGGUAACCUGCCUUAUACAGGGGGAUAACAGUCAGAAAUGGCUGCUAAUACCGCAUAAGCGCACAGAGCUGCAUGGCUCAGUGUGAAAAACUCCGGUGGUAUAAGAUGGACCCGCGUUGGAUUAGCUUGUUGGUGGGGUAACGGCCCACCAAGGCGACGAUCCAUAGCCGGCCUGAGAGGGUGAACGGCCACAUUGGGACUGAGACACGGCCCAGACUCCUACGGGAGGCAGCAUG
rnacentral:rRNA from 1 species